UUUGUAGUGACACUAGAAGCGUGUAUCUGUGUCUCUUUGAAAUAUACUCUCCGGACGUCCGAAGGGAAAGCAGGGUGCAGAAGAAAGACCCUUUCAGUGAGGGGGAUGAAGAAAACCCGCAAUAUGACCCUUCUCCGGAUUGAGCCACCAAGGGUGGACAGGAAGGAGAUCAGCAGAAGAAUAUUAGACCUCACCUUGGAGAUCAUCUCCCUGCUGAGCGGAGAGGAGUACACAAUAGUGAAGAAGACAUCUGGGGACUGUGUGACUCCC